rnacentral:rRNA from 1 species
AUUGAACGCUGGCGGCAGGCCUAACACAUGCAAGUCGAGCGGAUGAAGGGAGCUUGCUCCUGGAUUCAGCGGCGGACGGGUGAGUAAUGCCUAGGAAUCUGCCUGGUAGUGGGGGAUAACGUCCGGAAACGGGCGCUAAUACCGCAUACGUCCUGAGGGAGAAAGUGGGGGAUCUUCGGACCUCACGCUAUCAGAUGAGCCUAGGUCGGAUUAGCUAGUUGGUGGGGUAAAGGCCUACCAAGGCGACGAUCCGUAACUGGUCUGAGAGGAUGAUCAGUCACACUGGAACUGAGACACGGUUCAGACUCCUACGGGAGGCAGCAGUGGGGAAUAUUGGACAAUGGGCGAAAGCCUGAUCCAGCCAUGCCGCGUGUGUGAAGAAGGUCUUCGGAUUGUAAAGCACUUUAAGUUGGGGGAAGGGCAGUAAGUUAAUACCUUGCUGUUUUGACGUUACCAACAGAAUAAGCACCGGCUAACUUCGUG